rnacentral:rRNA from 1 species
UGGGGAAUUUUGGACAAUGGGCGAAAGCCUGAUCCAGCAAUGCCGCGUGUGUGAAGAAGGCCUUCGGGUUGUAAAGCACUUUUGUCCGGAAAGAAAUCCUUGGCUCUAAUACAGUCGGGGGAUGACGGUACCGGAAGAAUAAGCACCGGCUAACUACGUGCCAGCAGCCGCGGUAAUACGUAGGGUGCAAGCGUUAAUCGGAAUUACUGGGCGUAAAGCGUGCGCAGGCGGUUUGCUAAGACCGAUGUGAAAUCCCCGGGCUCAACCUAGGAACUGCAUUGGUGACUGGCAGGCUAGAGUAUGGCAGAGGGGGGUAGAAUUCCACGUGUAGCAGUGAAAUGCGUAGAGAUGUGGAGGAAUACCGAUGGCGAAGGCAGCCCCCUGGGCCAAUACUGACGCUCAUGCACGAAAGCGUGGGGAGCAAACAGGAUUAGAUACCCUGGUAGUCCACGCCCUAAACGAUGUCAACUAGUUGUUGGGGAUUCAUUUCCUUAGUAACGUAGCUAACGCGUGAAGUUGACCGCCUGGGGAGUACGGUCGCAAGAUUAAAACUCAAAUGAAUUGACGGGGUCAUAGCUGUUUCCU